rnacentral:rRNA from 1 species
AUUGAACGCUGGCGGCAGGCCUAACACAUGCAAGUCGAACGAGUGGCGGACGGGUGAGUAAUGUCUGGGAAACUGCCUGAUGGAGGGGGCUAACUACUGGAAACGGUAGCUAAUACCGCAUACCAUCGGAUGUGCCCAUAUGGGAUUAGCUAGUAGGUGGGGUAAAGGCUCACCUAGGCGACGAUCCGUAGCUGGUCUGAGAGGAUGAACAGCAACACUGGAACGGAGACACGGCCCAGAUGCCUACGGGAGGCAGCAGUGGGGAAUAUUGCACAAUGGGCGCAAUCCUGAUGCAGCCAUGCCGCGUGUAUGAAGAAGGCCUUCGGGUUGUAAAGUACUUUCAGCGGGGAGGCGUUACCCGCAGAAGAAGCACCGGCUAACUCCGUGCCAGCCGCCGCGGUAAUUC